AUUGAACGCUGGCGGCAUGCCUUACACAUGCAAGUCGAGCGGCAGCGCGGGGGCAACCCUGGCGGCGGGCGGCGAACGGGUGAGUAAUACAUCGGAACGUGUCCUGUCGUGGGGGAUAACCAGUCGAAAGACUGGCUAAUACCGCAUGAGAUCGAAGGAUGAAAGCGGGGGACCGCAAGGCCUCCCGCGAUUGGAGCGGCCGAUGUCGGAUUAGCUAGUUGGCGGGGUAAAAGCCCACCAAGGCGACGAUCCGUAGCUGGUUUGAGAGAACGACCAGCCACACUGGGACUGAGACACGGCCCAGACUCCUACGGGAGGCAGCAGUGGGGAAUUUUGGACAAUGGGGGCAACCCUGAUCCAGCCAUGCCGCGUGUGUGAAGAAGGCCUUCGGGUUGUAAAGCACUUUCGGCCGGAACGAAAUCGCGCGGGCUAUUACCCCGCGUGGAUGACGGUACCGGAAGAAGAAGCACCGGCUAACUACGUGCCAGCAGCCGCCGCGG
rnacentral:rRNA from 1 species